UACGUAGGCGGCUUGGUAAGUCAGAUGUGAAAUCCUGGGGCUCAACCUCGGAACUGCAUUUGAUACUGCCAGGCUAGAGUACUGGAGAGGAGACUGGAAUUUACGGUGUAGCAGUGAAAUGCGUAGAUAUCGUAAGGAAGGCCAGUGGCGAAGGCGAGUCUCUGGACAGUAACUGACGCUGAGGCACGAAGGCUAGGGGAGCAAACG
rnacentral:rRNA from 1 species